UUUCCCCCCAAUUCGCUGCCUCCUCUUUCCCCGGUCUCCCCCAAUCCCCGCCUCCUCUCCUCCUCCUCAAUCUGUUGCCUCUCCCCCAAGCUGCCGCCUCUCCCCUAGGCCGCCGCCCUCUCUCCUUCUCCCCCGUCUUCGGCCCCGCCCUCGCCAACUCCCGACGCUUUGUCGAGUGGAGAACCAGGAAGGAGGAGGGACGUGAAGUGGAGAAGAGGGGGUGCGAUGGAGAAGGAGCCAAGCCCGCAGGAGAGCACGGAGCGUCGGCGCGCCCUGCCAGUCGCGGCUGCUCGUGGAGCUCCGGCAUGUGCUGCACCAUGGAGGCGCUCGUGGAGGUGCUCUCACCUUCGGAACCACCUCGAUCCGUGUCUGGAACCAUCCUGCUCGUCUCCAACUUUUCCAGCUCACCGAUGAGGACCUCGUCUCGGCCUCCUACCAGCCCCAUCCGUUGGAGCACAACGCUGCCUUCUGCCUCCCCAUGCGAGAUCCUUGUUCUGAUUCCUUCCUCUCUUGAUUAAUUUCAUUCUAUUUCAUUUCUAGGGUUUGAUGUCGAGGAGGUUCCUACACCAAUGGUGACAGCGGGCUCUGCUACAGGAAGCAGGGUCUAAUGAUGUACAAUUUGCAGCUACUGGUUAAUUGUUCAAAUGGGAGCUUCCGUAGGGGCGUGUCCUCAAUUCCAUUACCUUUCUAGAUUAUUGUUUCGUGGUUGAUGCAAUACUCAGUUUGGUGGUUUCCUUUUGUUUUUGCUGCAGAGAGUGGAAGUUUUAGAAUGGUGCGGACAGGUUGAGAGCAAUAGAUGUUUUUUAAGACCUAGAUUGUUACUACCGAGAAUGGAAUUCAAGAAGAGAUACUUUUGGUCUUAUCUUAUUACCUCUCGUAUCUGAUAGAUAACACAAAGUUAUCAGUUUAGUUGGAAAAAGAAAAAGUCCAGAUCAAUUGUGAGGAUAUGAUCAUUGGCAUGCUUACCCCGGAUGAUGCCUCAUUUCUUCAGAAUUUGAGGCUGUUCUUGAUAUGCCAGGACAAUUUGAUUUUUGGAGGACAAAGGUUAGACAAGGAUGAGAAUGGGAUACCAGAUUACAGCGAUGGAGGCUCGGACAUGGAUCUGCUCAUGCUCUCAGCAGGAAUAUUGGAUGUUCUCGAAGCUUUGCCAUACACACGUGCUACUUUUGGCACUUGCGUGGGCUCCAGUUUGUGUCAAUGCAAU